rnacentral:rRNA from 1 species
AGGGCACCACCAGGAGUGGAGCCUGCGGCUUAAUUUGACUCAACACGGGAAAACUCACCCGGCCCGGACACCGUAAGGAUUGACAGACUGAGAGCUCUUUCUUAAUUCGGUGGGUGGUGGUGCAUGGCCGUUCUUAGUUGGUGGAGCGAUUUGUCUGGUUAAUUCCGAUAACGAACGAGACUCUGGCCUAUUAAAUAGACGGUAUAUCCAGAAAAGUUUACCGUACUUCUUAGAGGGACGAACGGCGUCUGGCCGCGAGAAAUAGAGCAAUAACAGGUGUGUGAUGCCCUUAGGUGUGCGGGGCUGCACGCGCGCUACACUGAAAAAAUCAGUAUGCGCUUUAUCCUACGCCGGAAGGAUUGGGUAACCCGAGCAUAUUCUUUCGUGGUUGGGAUAGAGAAUUGCUAUUAUUUCCCUUAGACGAGGACUUCCUAGUAGAUGCGGGUCAUAAGCUCGCGAUGAUUACGUCGCUGCCCGUUGUACACACCGCCCGUCGCUACUACCGAUAGGAUGACUUAA